rnacentral:rRNA from 1 species
AGAGUUUGCUUUUGGCUCAGGACGAACGCUGGCGGCGUGCCUAACACAUGCAAGUCGAACGAGAAUCUUUGGAAUGAUUCUUUCGGGAUGAAUUCCAAAGAGGAAAGUGGCGGACGGGCGAGUAACGCGUGAGUAACCUGCCCAUAAGAGGGGGAUAAUCCAUGGAAACGUGGACUAAUACCGCAUAUUGUAGUUAAGUUGCAUGACUUGAUUAUGAAAGAUUUAUCGCUUAUGGAUGGACUCGCGUCAGAUUAGAUAGUUGGUGAGGUAACGGCUCACCAAGUCAACGAUCUGUAGCCGAACUGAGAGGUUGAUCGGCCGCAUUGGGACUGAGACACGGCCCAGACUCCUACGGGAGGCAGCAGUGGGGAAUAUUGCGCAAUGGGGGCAACCCUGACGCAGCAACGCCGCGUGCAGGAAGAAGGUCUUCGGAUUGUAAACUGUUGUCGCAAGGGAAGAAGACAGUGACGGUACCUUGUGAGAAAGUCACGGCUAACUACGUGCCAGCAGCCGCGGUAAUACGUAGGUGACAAGCGUUGUCCGGAUUUACUGGGUGUAAAGGGCGCGUAGGCGGACUGUCAAGUCAGUCGUGAAAUACCGGGGCUUAACCCCGGGGCUGCGAUUGAAACUGACAGCCUUGAGUAUCGGAGAGGAAAGCGGAAUUCCUAGUGUAGCGGUGAAAUGCGUAGAUAUUAGGAGGAACACCAGUGGCGAAGGCGGCUUUCUGGACGACAACUGACGCUGAGGCGCGAAAGUGUGGGGAGCAAACAGGAUUAGAUACCCUGGUAGUCUACACCGUAAACGAUGGAAACUUAGGGGGUAGGAGGGAUCCACCCCUUC